ACUACAUAUCAGGGGAGCUUUAAGGCCGCGAUUAAAGGUAUUGGGGUCCGAAAGGCUGAGAGGAAGCAUACGCUUCGACCCAUUGAACCUGUAUGGAUAAUGCCAACGAAGGGAGUUCUAUGACGCAGAUU
rnacentral:ncRNA from 2 species